rnacentral:rRNA from 1 species
GGGGGAUAAUCGGGAGAAAUCCCGUCUAAUACCGCGUAAUGCCGCGGGGCUGCAUGGCCCUGCGGCCAAAGGAAGCGAUUCCGGCAACGGAUGGGCAUGCGUGACAUUAGCUAGUUGGCGGGGCAACGGCCCACCAAGGCGACGAUGUCUAGGGGUUCUGAGAGGAAGGUCCCCCACACUGGUACUGAAACACGGACCAGACUCCUACGGGAGGCAGCAGUGAGGAAUAUUGGUCAAUGGGCGCGAGCCUGAACCAGCCAAGUCGCGUGAGGGAUGACGGCCCUACGGGUUGUAAACCUCUUUUGUCGGGGAGCAAAUUCCGCCACGUGUGGCGGAGUCGAGAGUACCCGAAGAAAAAGCAUCGGCUAACUCCGUGCCAGCAGCCGCGGUAAUACGGAGGAUGCGAGCGUUAUCCGGAUUUAUUGGGUUUAAAGGGUGCGUAGGCGGACUGUCAAGUCAGCGGUAAAAUACGGGGGCUCAACCUCCGCCCGCCGUUGAAACUGACGGUCUUGAGUGGGCGAGAAGUAUGCGGAAUGCGUGGUGUAGCGGUGAAAUGCAUAGAUAUCACGCAGAACUCCGAUUGCGAAGGCAGCAUACCGGCGCCCAACUGACGCUGAAGCACGAAAGCGUGGGUAUCGAACAGGAUUAGAUACCCUGGUAGUCCACGCAGUAAAC